UGCCUGGUGGUCCAGUGUCUAAGACUCUGUGCUCCAAAGACAGGGGGCCUAGGUUCAAUCCCUGGUCAGGGAA
rnacentral:tRNA from 1 species